rnacentral:rRNA from 1 species
AGUGAACGCUGGCGGUAGGCCUAACACAUGCAAGUCGAACGGCAGCACAGUAAGAGCUUGCUCUUACGGGUGGCGAGUGGCGGACGGGUGAGAAUACAUCGGAAUCUACUUUUUCGUGGGGAUAACGUAGGGAAACUUACGCUAAUACCGCAUACGACCUACGGGUGAAAGCAGGGGAUCUUCGGACCUUGCGCGAUUGAAUGAGCCGAUGUCGGAUUAGCUAGUUGGCGGGGUAAAGGCCCACCAAGGCGACGAUCCGUAGCUGGUCUGAGAGGAUGAUCAGCCACACUGGAACUGAGACACGGUCCAGACUCCUACGGGAGGCAGCAGUGGGGAAUAUUGGACAAUGGGCGCAAGCCUGAUCCAGCCAUACCGCGUGGGUGAAGAAGGCCUUCGGGUUGUAAAGCCCUUUUGUUGGGAAAGAAAAGCAGCAGGUUAAUACCCCGCUGUUCUGACGGUACCCAAAGAAUAAGCACCGGCUAACUUCGUG